rnacentral:lncRNA from 1 species
CUAGGCAUGUGGCUCAAUAAUUUACCACCCUCACUAGAUAGUAAUAUAGCAACAUUUCAAAACAACUUUAGGAGUCAUGUGAAGGACGAACUUCGAUGCCUCACAACUAGCCUGAUGAAUUGAAAAGAUUGAGUUGGUGUUAUAUUUUUCUUCACUCAAGAACCCAGCAAGUGACCAACCAUAGUGUAUAGAUGGGAUGCAGUUGGCUUGCACAAGUAUUUGGUGUCCC